rnacentral:rRNA from 1 species
GAUGAACGCUGGCGGCGUGCCUAAUACAUGCAAGUCGAGCGAACAGACGAGGAGCUUGCUCCUCUGACGUUAGCGGCGGACGGGUGAGUAACACGUGGAUAACCUACCUAUAAGACUGGGAUAACUUCGGGAAACCGGAGCUAAUACCGGAUAAUAUAUUGAACCGCAUGGUUCAAUAGUGAAAGACGGUUUUGCUGUCACUUAUAGAUGGAUCCGCGCCGCAUUAGCUAGUUGGUAAGGUAACGGCUUACCAAGGCAACGAUGCGUAGCCGGCCUGAGAGGGGGAUCGGCCACACUGGAACUGAGACACGGUCCAGACUCCUACGGGAGGCAGCAGUAGGGAAUCUUCCGCAAUGGGCGAAAGCCUGACGGAGCAACGCCGCGUGAGUGAAGAAGGUCUUCGGAUCGUAAAACUCUGUUAUUAGGGAAGAACAAAUGUGUAAGUAACUAUGCACGUCUUGACGGUACCUAAACAGAAAGCCACGGCUAACUACGUG